rnacentral:rRNA from 1 species
UACGGGGGGGGCAAGCGUUGUUCGGAAUUACUGGGCGUAAAGGCUCGUAGGCGGCCAACUAAGUCGGAGUGUGAAAUCCCCAGGCUCAACUUGGGAACUGCAUCCGAUACUGGAUGGCUUGAAUUCGGGAGAGGGAUGCAGAAUUCCGAGGUGUGAGCGGUGAAAUGCGUAGAUAUCUGGAGGAAUACCGGUGGCGAAGGCGGCAUCCUGGACCGACGAUUGACGCUGAUGAGCGAAAGCUAGGGGAGCAAACGGGG